UGCGCAGGACAAGAACAGCUGGUUGUCAUGGCGACUGGAUGCAGCAGCUGUACCAGCGCUGUUACGGGGGCCAUUCAAAAAUGUGAUUAAGACAGUAGAAAUUAUCCCGGCUUUUUGCAUGGAAAAUUGUCUUCAGGCGACGCUUGACAACGCCGCGGAAAACACGGAAUAUGCAUUAGUAGUUACCGCGUUAACACGGUCGUUUGCGCUAAUUGCUGGGCGCCCAAUUCCAAUGUAUGAUUUUGCAGUUUGUCAUUGUUUGUCCAUGUUUUUUGGACGAUCAGAAUCGGCUGCUGACCUUCAACUGGUCCAAACUCGCUUAUCUAUCAGGAAAAGGUUAAUUUUGUGCAUUUUUCCCCAAGUUGGGAAACUUUCAAGGCCUUCUAAUCGUCGCUGUACAAGUCCAAAAAAAAACAAUGGCAAUUUUCGUCGAUGAAUGUGUGUCAUUAUUGUCGCCGAGCUGAAUGGGAAAACCUACGCAAAACCAGCUAUUAUUGUCCGAAAUGUGACAUGCCAAUUCUACAUCAAUAAUUGAUAAGCCGAAAUCGACGAUUACGAUCCGGGAAAUUGUUUAAUCAGUCGGGAACAUUUGGGCCAUUUGUUGGAUUUGCUGAAGAUUUAAAGCCCUGUAAUUGAGUGCUGUACAAGCCAAUGGUUGAUUAUCAAAUUCAAAAAAAUACAGUCAAUCUGGAUGAGUCAUUGUGUGGCGCCCAGAUGACGAACGGUGCGAUUAGGGUAAAAUGAGCUGUUAUUUAUCGAAUUGCUGGAAAGCCUAUUUAUCAAUAAGUGCUAUCGGGUGUCAACAAUCGUUAUACUGGUGCGAAAACAAUUGUUACUGGCUGCCUUAAAACUGACAGAUAUUUUUGACAUGCAAACGACGUACACCUGCCUUGAUUCGUAAUGCACGCUCGGGCGCUUAACGGAACUUGCCGAUACUGACCCGAAUAAAUCGUGGCCGACUUUUCGUUUCCCAGUGCGCUUUAUUAGGCCCAAUUAAUGCAAAUAAACGGCGGCCGUAUGCCCCACACGGCAGGUUUUUAUGCUGUAUUAUUGACUCGAUUUUCCACAUACCAUUUGUCAGUUUCGGUCUUAGUUUGUUGCUAUUUUCAGUUAUUUGACAUUUGACUAUUGCGGAAUGCAGUUGAACCAGACCGGUUCGGACGAGUUUAGGACGUUGUGGACAACAAUUUCUUCCUGACGUUUCGCAAGCACGAAUGGUUUGCAUCUUCAGAGUAUGUUCGCAGUCGAAGCGAAUACACCCGAAAUACUCAACAGUUUCAAACACUGGUCGCGAAUUCGCAGCCAAUAGAGAGUUAUUGUUCGGCCAAUACGUUCAUGCAGUAUUAGUUUGCGCUAUUUUGACACAAACGCCUGCGCAAAUCAGUCUAAAAAAUAAGAACUGCAAAAUUAAAGUACUGUUUUGUAGUAUUUGUGUGCCGAUACUGCACGUUUUAUUUUCUACGUUAAACUGGCAGUUGACAUUUCUGACGUCCGGUUGCAGAUUAUUUCAUUAUAAACAUAACCCAGUUUUACCCAUUUCCAAUUGACUACUUGUUUAUAUAUGUAAACAUUACGUUUAACUACGUAUUAAAUCUUGUAUUACUUAUACAAUUGAUUCAAAAUGCCACAUUUUUGCAGUGUUCUUUAAUGCUCAAUGCGUGCUGAACGAGAUACGGUUUCUUUUUUCCGAUUUUGGCGAGACAUAGAAGAGAGAUAUGAUUUGAAUGCUUUCUCUAGUGAACGUCGAAAUGUUGUGUUAAGGCUUUAAAACGGGUGCCUCUACGUAAAAUCUUUAUGAGAAAUGGUCGUAUUUGCUUAGGACAUUUCAUAACUGGAAAACCAGCUGCCUUGGAAGACAAAACUAAUCCAGAUGUGUUGCCCAACGAAAAUUUAGAAAACAUUUGUAGUCUCUAACCAGGUCAAUCUGCCUGCCUACUCCCUAUUUAAAAGGUUUUUAAAAAGAGCUGGAAUGAAGCCAGAGGUUCGAGCUGAAGUGGUUUCUGCAUGGUGCACAAGAUUUGAUAGUGUUUCACAAUUUAUUGAAGAAAUUUGAGCAAAGCAGAUUUAUGGAAGCUGUGUUAGUGAGUCAGUUCAAACUGAUGUACCUAACUGAAGAAUAUUCAAGUCGUGUUUUUCAGAAUCUAGAUUUUUGCAAUUCAAUAAAGUACACCUUGCAAGCAAAAGUUCAAGUGAUGGAUGUAAAUGAGAAUUAUGUUAAAAAUAAAUGCUUUAUCCCUAA